rnacentral:lncRNA from 10 species
UCCAGCACGUUGUACAGCGAAACGGCCCCAGAAGCCCCUCUCCGAGGCGCGAGUUCGGUUUGGUUCUGGCAGGGGCUUUGCAGCUGUCCGGAAGGUGAAGUCAGCCUUGUGUCCUGAGGAGAAACUGGAGAUGCAGGUCGCUGUGCCCUCCCGCUGCUACGUCGCUGCGCCGGAUCCUGCCAUCCUUCCGCAAGGGGUGAGAGCGGGAACAGCCCUGCCCUGCCUUCCAGGUAUUAUCUAGCCUGGAGGCUGGAGCGCAAGGUAACGCUCCGGGAAGUGGCACUCGGGUCCCCGCACACGGGCGAGUCCUCAGCAGUUCAGUGGACAGACCCGCAGGACGCGGCUGCCAAGUCCGCGAGGCAAGGACCAGGCAUCUUCCCGCGCCUCACUCCAGCCUGCGGACUGUGACUUUCCAUCCCAGUAUCAGACAAGCUCGCGAGUAACUGAACAUCCUUUCCAGUCCAUGGGUGGGGUGUGGAAAGGGCGUAAAACUCCAAAGUGGCUCCUCCGCGGUGAGCGAGCUGCCCCGGGGCUCUGCCUGACUGCAGCGCGAAGCCUGGGAGAACAAACCCAGUUCCCUCCGUCAAGAAAUUUCCAUUUAAGUCCGAGAAAGUCAUAUGAUUGAGAAGUUCAGCAGCGGCGGCGAGGACCCAGUGUCUGGGAAAGAACACCUGGAGGAUGGGGUGUCCAGGACGCCGGCUUUUCGGGGUUCCGACCCCACCCACCUUAUGUUGUAACAUACAAGCUUAGAGACCUGUUGCAAGGAACAACUGACUGGGUCUUCCACCACCCCUGGCACCCGGGUGGCCCAAAGCCUAUGCGCCCUUGGCGGAGAGAGAGGCCACGGUGCCACUGGCCGCAGCCUCUGGCCUUCAGAAACAGUGUAUUACAAAGAAAAGGCAGUUUAAAUCUCACAUUCAGCAUAGGGAAAACUGAAGGGUGCCAGGCUCGGGGACUUCUUCCAACAGAGUGGCUCUUCCCCAAAUAUGAAAGAAAAUCAUCAAAUUAAAUUGAAGGCAAAACUAAGCUUCCACCACAAAGACAUAGCAGAUAGUUGCAAGGUGGAUUCCUUCGGGCCUUUUCCUUUCCUAAGGCUAAAACAAUGCUAAGACAAAAGUCUUCUUGCAGCUGUCUCCGCCCCUCCGAGAUAAAUACUUUCCCAAUUCUCCCCCACCCUGUACACACACCCACGCCCGCGGCAGCUGAUUUCUGUCUUCUGCAAUAGCUCGAUUUAAAUGCUUUGCUUUUACUCUUUAUUAUCACUAUUAUUUGUGUGAAGCCCUCUCGCCUGCUCCUGGUCACCAGCAGGAGCCUGCUUCCCUCCCUCCUUCCCCCCAAGCCUCUGGGCAGCAGAAGCUAGCUGGGAGCUCUGUGCAGCUGGCGGCGACGCCAUGUGACUGUGAGCCGAGCACCAUCACCCAGAGUCACUCUCUAGCUUUCCCCUAAUACACUUCACACCCACGCACUGUGGAGGUGCGAGAGAGGUUGCUCCGUGCGGUGCUAUUCGAGGCAGAUGCAGAGAGCGCCCUGGAGUAAGCUCUCCAAUCCUAGAGCUGCGCGGGACCCUGACUGAAGGCGGAGGGGGCGGGAGGGGGUGCUGUUGCUAUAUUUAGACUCCCUAUGGAGUUUCUGUGCAGGGACUUUCAGGGUGAAAGAUCUAGAGACUUAAAAUGACUCGUGUGCCCGCUUUAAACGUCAAAAUCUUGGCCUUUCUGCAAGCAGUAAAAUGAAAACCACUUCCUCUUAACUUAGCUGUUUUCCUUGUUGCAGACUGCUACUUUCGCUGGAAAUUAAUCAGAGAACCCAGGACAACGUCAGAGAUCAUAUGAGCCUCACCAGACUGCAUGAGAGUCAUAACACAGUAGGAGUCCCAGGCCUACCUCACAUGGCAAAUGGGACAGUGUUCUUCAGAACAACCUCUGCCCCAGGGAUGCAGAAAGGAGGGUUUCACUAUGUUGGCCAGUCUGGUGUUGAACUCCUCACCUCAAAUGAUCUGCCCACCUUGGCCUCCCAAAGCGUUGGAGUUACAGACGUGAGCCACCGCGCCCAGCUGGAGAAGAUGUGAAAUUUUGAGAGCUGACCAUACUUUGAGAAUAAUAAGUAGUUGGAUUCUACUGAAGCCCAGUGGCUUUUGGAGGUGUAGCAAUAAGCAGGAGGCAGCAGAAGUAAGACAAGGGCUGUAUGACAAAGUCUUGGCAAGAACUUUGAAUUUUAUCCUGAUGUGAGUGGGGAGAGCCACUGAAGAACGUGAAGCCAGAAACACUACAUGUUACUACUUCUACUUUCAGAAAAGGCUUAAUAUGGAUUAUACACCUACAAGUGGCACACACUGUUCCAAGUGGAGACUCAAAGAUGAUAACGAUACAGUGUUUAUGCUAUAGGUUUGUGAAGCUACCAAUCCAUGGACAGAUGUUAAACCUAACUUCCAAUUUCAGGUACAAAUAUCUGAGUAAAUGAUGGUAUCAUUUACUCAAUCAGUAAAGGUCAAAGAGAAGGCAGUCUGAAGAAGGGAAAGGUGUUCAAUUUUGCAUUGAGUUUGACAUACCUGUUGAGACAGCUCAGUGGAGAUAUCCAGUUGAUGCUUGGAUAUAUGGACUUACAGCUCAGGGGGAGCUAGAAAUUGAAAUUUGAGAAUCAUCAACCUAUAUUUAUAAUGGGUGAAAUCAAUAAGUCGGAAUCAAAUUACCUGGGGAAGCAUGCAGAUUUGUUUAAAAAGGAAGAGGCCUGAGAACCCAACCCUGGUAAGCAUGACCAUUCAGGAUAAGAGAGAAGGAGCAAGUAGGGAAAGAGACUGAAAUAAAGAAACCUGAGUAACCACUGAGGACCACUGCUACAAUAGAGAAAAAGGAACUUCAUUAGGGAAAUGCCUGAAAGCGAAUAAGGUAAGGAUUUUGGAUUUAGCAACAAAGAGGUCAUUUGAAGAAGUUGUUUUUAUUUUUAUUUCCUUGCAGAAUUGUAGAAAUAGAAAUCAAAUCAGAGUGAGCAGAGAAACAAUUUGAAGAUAAGGGAAUGGAGAUAAUUAUUUUAAAGUGGGAGAAGCAAGCAGAAGAUUUAGGUUUGAAGAAGGCACUAUACAAAAUAAUGUUGAUUCACUUGAGACUUGAGUGGCUGUUACAGCCACUCUCACAGGUCCCGAGGCUGAGCCUGCACAGGUGUUUCGACAACUAAGCUGCAAUUUUGACAGACACUAUUUCACUGUCAAUUGUGCGGCCUGCAACAACUUGGACAUCUUUUAUUGAUUUUAUUGAGUACUUUAAUAACAUUUUAAUAAAAGCCAUUAUAUUUUAUUUCUAACAUUU